rnacentral:lncRNA from 1 species
CUGCAGCCCUCCCCACCCUUAAAGUGCGCGUAUAAACUUCUUCCCUGGAACCCUUUGGGGAGUUCGGACCUUCUGAGCAUGACCCACCUCUUCUCCUUGCAUGGCCCUUGCCAUAAGUCUUCCCCUGCUCCAAACUGACCUUCAGGUGUGUUUGGCCUCGCUGUGCUUUGGGCGACCACACUUGCUUAAGGCAGCUUAUUUUCUUUUCAGCAAGCUCUUUCUUCUGUGGAAAACUUCCCCUGUGGUAACUACCCACCCAUUGCACCUACAUAUCAAGCCUCAGUUCCUGCAGCAAGAUUCAACAGGCACAAUUCCAACCCCAUAAACACAGCAGGCUUUUGUAAACAGAUAAAUGGUCUCUUCUCCGAGUUUAACAUUUUCUAGCUUUUCCUUCGUUCAGUUUAUUAAAAAAGUAUAAAAGCCAAC